rnacentral:rRNA from 1 species
AUUGAACGCUGGCGGCAGGCCUAACACAUGCAAGUCGAACGGGUGGCGGACGGGUGAGUAAUGUCUGGGAAACUGCCCGAUGGAGGGGGAUAACUACUGGAAACGGUAGCUAAUACCACAUACCAUCGGAUGUGCCCAGAUGGGAUUAGCGAGUAGGUGGGGUAACGGCUCACCUAGGCGACGAUCCCUAGCUGGUCUGAGAGGAUGACCAGCCACACUGGAACGGAGACACGGUCCAGACUCCUACGGGAGGGAGCAGUGGGGAAUAUUGCGCAAUGGGGGCAAGCCUGAUGCAGUCAUGCCGCGUGUAUGAAGAAGGCGUUCGGGUUGUAAAGUACUUUUAGCGAGGAUGCGUUACUCGCAGAAGAAGCACCGGCUAACUCCGUGCCAGCAGCCGCGGUAAUUC